GGCGGUUACUCCCUGCAAUCUUCUUAAGCAAUGAUGCCAUGUAGCACACUGAUCAACAGUGACACAGGUGGAGGAGGAUGAAGGGUGCUGGUUAAUGGAUGUCCAAGUCACUAUGAUUGCAAUCUAUAGUGAUGCAUACUUCCACUACAUUUGGCUGUUCGAGGAUUGUCUCCCACAAUACUGUAAAACAUGAGGUUGGACAAGGAAGCUUCCAUGUUUAAUUAUCCAUCAUCAUGGUGAUGAAAGGUGUAGACGCAAAGAUGAUAGAGAGUGAGGAUAGGUGAUGGCACAUUCAUGCUGACCAGUUCUUCCUAGCUAGUGGCCUCUUCUUGGUGCUCUUCUUUGGUGGCCUGUGGAUCGAGAGGAAGAUAAUGCGUUAGGCAAUUCUUGUCAAUUAAUCGGAUCACAAUGGCCAACUCGGAUCAGUGUUUAUAUGCGGCCCAGAUUCUACGAAUACACACUCCGUUUAUACGGGACACGUGGUGGCCAUCCAACCCAUGUCACGAUCGGACGGCCAACAAAAUGAAUUCUUGUCCUUGGUAUGGUUUCAGGGUGUAGUUUCGCUAGACAAUUGCAUAAAUUCCUUGAAGAUUGUUGCUGGUUGGGAGAUCUAUGAGCCGAAGCAACGUAAUCAAUUGGGGAACCCUAAAACUUGUGUACGGUUGCUUUGCUUUGUUGCGACUCAUCAAAAUCUGGCCUUGGCUUCAGGUGUCGUCGUUGGAGCCGACUGGAUGUAGCCAUGUAGGUGAUCAGGAGAAGACUAGUUCGGUUUCUUAUUUUGAAGAUGCAAGUGAUUUCUCACUCGAACGUAGCAUUCGAAUGGAGAAAUGAGGGAGUUUAAACCUCGCGAACCCGGUUUCAAAAGUGCUGGAACCUUUUUGGAGAAUGCAGAAAGUUUCAAGUCCUGUUCUUCCUAUAAUUGUGCAAAAGGCGAAUACGCUCGUUCCCGUCAAUCCGUCUCAAGAUCAACACGGAGGAGGUAAAUCACGAGCGACUACUAGUCUUUGGAAUAGUGAUUAGCACAUAAGGGAGGUAUUUACCUCGGCUUUGCCGAAAUUCGAACCUCAGACCUCAUUCUGGCACACCUCAUGUGCUAACCUUAGACUCAUUCAAAAAUAUAUUGUUGGAUGCUACAUCAUGUUUGAUUUUUUAGCUAUAGCCUGCGAGAAGUUGAUUGAUUGAUGAAGAUUUAAGAGUUUAAAGGGGAAAAGG